CCUCAAAUCAGGUAGGACUACCCGCUGAACUUAAGCAUAUCAAUAAGCGGAGGAAAAGAAACUAACAAGGAUUCCCCUAGUAACUGCGAGUGAAGCGGGAAAAGCUCAAAUUUAAAAUCUGGUAGUCUUUGGCUGCCCGAGUUGUAAUCUAGAGAAGCGUUAUCCGCGCUGGACCGUGUGUAAGUCUCCUGGAAUGGAGCGUCAUAGGGGGUGAGAAUCCCGUCUUUAACACGGACUACCAGGGCUUUGUGAUGCGCUCUCAAAGAGUCGAGUUGUUUGGGAAUGCAGCUCUAAAUGGGUGGUAAAUUCCAUCUAAAGCUAAAUAUUGGCGAGAGACCGAUAGCGAACAAGUACCGUGAGGGAAAGAUGAAAAGAACUUUGGAAAGAGAGUUAAACAGUACGUGAAAUUGUUGAAAGGGAAACGCUUGAAGUCAGUCGCGUUGGUCAGGGAUCAACCUUGCUUUUUGCUUGGUGUACUUCCUGGUUAACGGGUCAGCAUCAAUUUUGACCAGUGGAAAAAGGUCAGGGGAAUGUGGCAUCUUCGGAUGUGUUAUAGCCUCUGGUCAUAUACACUGGUUGGGAUUGAGGAACUCAGCACGCCGCAAGGCCGGGGUUUACCCACGUUCGUGCUUAGGAUGCUGGCAUAAU
rnacentral:rRNA from 1 species